rnacentral:rRNA from 1 species
UACGUAGGUCCCGAGCGUUGUCCGGAUUUAUUGGGCGUAAAGCGAGCGCAGGUGGUUUAUUAAGUCUGGUGUAAAAGGCAGUGGCUCAACCAUUGUAUGCAUUGGAAACUGGUAGACUUGAGUGCAGGAGAGGAGAGUGGAAUUCCAUGUGUAGCGGUGAAAUGCGUAGAUAUAUGGAGGAACUCCGGUGGCGAAAGCGGCUCUCUGGCCUGUAACUGACACUGAGGCUCGAAAGCGUGGGGAGCAAACAGG